UUUUCUGGAAGUUCUGUUGAAGUUUUUGUCUCUAUUUGUCAAUAUCCUAAUAUAACUUCCAAAAUGCAAUCUAUUUAAUUUUACCUACUCCCAAGCCUUUCGACAUUAAAUCCUUUCUUGAUCAUUCCAUAUGUCGGUUUACAAGCUUUCGAGAAAUUCUGUGCAUGUUGGAGUUUUUCCGGAUCGAAAAUAUUGAGGUUUCUCUGAGUCGUGAGGGCUACCAUUGCCCCUGGCUAAUUAACUAUUUCAUGAAGAUCGCUUAAUAUCAGCCUAUAUUUCAGCUGAAUGGCCCUUAUCAGUGGCUUCUGCUGCAUAGCCUAAAAUAUUCUGCGGAAAAAUUAAAGGAUUUUCUAUAGAGACCUCGUUGUGGAAGUUUAAGGUUAUGACAAUGUAAAUCUCGCUGAAAUUGCAAGAAUCGGAAACAAGAAAAGAGAUAAGAUGAAAUAGAGGUUUACCCCGGCAAGUUAUGAUGAGGCAGUGUACCUCGUGAGGAAUGCGGGGAGGAAGGGUUACGUGAUCCCCACAUAAGGCAAUAUACUCUCGUAUGUAUAUGUAUCUGCACAUCCCUACACGGUACGAAAUAGCAAUAGAGAAACGGAGAAUUUAUGAAAAAAGGCUUGACGCAAUGCGGAAGACAAUUCCCUACUACCCUAAUGCUUCAUACUCCUUUGGAUAUUCGAGGAUUUGCUAUCGGCUAAGGACAAGGAUGUGCCUCCUAAAACGAAGAGAAAAAUUAUGCUGGCGAUAAAAAGGAGAAACGAGAUUUGCGAUUUACUUGUCUGCUUAUAACGUACAUACAAACAUGUGUAUCCAUUCAUGGUGAUCGACCUCUCCCGGUCGCCCUUGCAACUCAAUGUGAUCCAGGCUGGCAGGAGCAUGAAAUUUUCAUUUUUUCCACGUUAAGUUGAAGAUAUACUCGCAGGAUAAUAUGGUGAAAGAUAAUAUUAAAAAGGCAGCAACAGCAGCACUUGAGGGAUACAUACGUAUGUCAGAGUAAAUUGAUAUUAAAUCUAUUGAGGGAACUCUGGGGCAGGCGCCAGAUGUUAUGAAAUAUUUAAAUGCGUUUGCAAAUUCGAAAGGACUCUGGAGCAGUGCGAGAGCGUUCCUUGGAGAUUUGGGGGAAUUGUAUCCGAGUUGGUAAAUAUUCGUUCCGGAAAAGUUGAUGUUAAAUGCAGAUGCAGCGUCAUUUUCAAUUCAGUUCAGAAAAAAAUAAGUAAUAAGUAAAAUAAGCACGAAAAAAAAUUAGU